rnacentral:rRNA from 1 species
AGAACGAACGCUGGCGGCAUGCCUAACACAUGCAAGUCGAACGAGACCUUCGGGUCUAGUGGCGCACGGGUGCGUAACGCGUGGGAAUCUGCCCUUGGGUUCGGAAUAACAGCGAGAAAUUGCUGCUAAUACCGGAUGAUGACGUAAGCCCAAAGAUUUAUCGCCCAAGGAUGAGCCCGCGUAGGAUUAGCUUGUUGGUGAGGUAAGAGCUCACCAAGGCGACGAUCCUUAGCUGGUCUGAGAGGAUGAUCAGCCACACUGGGACUGAGACACGGCCCAGACUCCUACGGGAGGCAGCAGUGGGAAUUUGGACAAUGGGCGAAAGCCUGAUCCAGCCAUGCCGCGUGCAGGAUGAAGGCCUUCGGGUUGUAAACUGCUUUGUACGGAACGAAAGUCUACUUUCUAAUAAAGAGGAUCAUGACGUACCGUAAGAAUAAGCACGGCUAACUACGUGACCAGCAGCCGC